UGCCUUUGAAGCCUCACAGCCAACUUUUUCCUGAAGGAAAGAUGGCAGAAAUAUCCUGAAUGAGAGGGACAGUGCCUUGGAGGGCAGUAGAGUACAUGGAAAAGUCUACUAGACAUCUUUGCUGACUUCCUGAGGAGGAUCCUGGAACACAUCACCUUUCUCCUGGUCAGAGCAGCAAGGCAGGAGAUCCCCAGGAGUUCCCCAGACUUCAAAGUGGAGUUUCCAAGCUCCAACCAAGGUGCAGGAGGACCUUGGACCUGCCCAGCAAAGGUGGCCAUGCCAGGCAGGAGGAGGCUGAAAGCUGCCAGGAAACAACCUCAGCUUGCCUUGGCCUUGACCUGUCCACAGAGGCAAAUCCAACAUAUGGUUGCUGGGUGUGAUGCAAAUCUGGGAUGAGUUGAAAGUCGGAGGGAUGCAGACAAUCCCACAUUAAAGAAUGGCUGGUCCAUAUGUUUCCUCUCUCCUUUUUCUGGGUGUUGAAGGGCUUUAGUCAGGAAACGUGGUGGG
rnacentral:lncRNA from 1 species